CGGCGAUGCCAUAUACAUAACCUCGCAUAACCUAGAACUUCUAGGUUAUGUAUGGCGUCGCGUAGUGCACAGCAGGGCUGGACGGUAUUCUGACAGUAUCGAUCAAUAUACAUAUACAGUUAUGGGAUAAUUAUGAUGCUGGAGCAAGCCGGGGCUGGAGUUAUGAAUGAGCUUUGCAAGGUUUAUGUAACCGGGUCUUUGCAAUGUGAGAACCACAGAAAGAAGGCGCGGAAGAAUUCAGAUUGAUGCAGUCGCCGAAGAUCGCAAUGACACGAUCCAUUUGUAAAUAAAAUUUAAGUUUUAGGCUCAUUCUGCUGAUUGGAUACUAUUUACUUCCACGAAGGAUGUUGCUAUCAGCUUAUCAAUAAAGAUCCUGUUUAUAAAAGAAUUUGAAGAAAAAUGUGUGGUGGACCAGGACAAGGAUUCUGUUCAUAGGCUUCGUGGCAGGAAUUGUUCAAUGGGAAAUAUAAGAAUCUACAAUCACACUCCUAGAAAUUCUCACUGUUGCCUGUCGAGUAGAGAAUCAUAUCCUUUGGGCAACUAUCCAGGAUUGAUAUCCUUUAUUACCUGCGAGAACGAAUAAAUUUAUGUAUAUGCGAAAAAUAUAAAAUCGGCACAAAUACUUCACUACUGGACAAAAUCGAGCCGCUAAGAAAAUUGUACACAUAUUUAUAUAAACAUAAUGUAAAUGGAGAAAAUAGGAAUGGCUUUUUAAUAUACAACUUUGAUAAGAGUACAAAGAUCAAUUAAAAUCAGAUCGCAAAGAACAAAUAUUUAUAUUAUUAGUAACUGGUCAGAUAACGACAAGAUUGCGAAAAUGUCAAAGUUCUUAGCAACAUGCUGAUCCUUCCUAAUAAAAAAAGAAAAAAUAUAGAAAUAUCACACACGUGUUAAGCAAGCGAAAACUGGUGAACUUGAUGAAGAUGGAUCCAAGAUUCUCUUGAACGCGCAAUUACACUGACCCGACAUAACUAUGAUGUAAUCACGACGUAUUCUUAUAUCAUGAUUACAUCAUGGUUUCAAGGAAUAUUAUUUUCCUCGGGAGCGACACGAGUUCAUCAAGUAAAAUCGAGUCCGUGGCUUUUCGACUACACGGACAAUAGGUACUGACAUUUCGUUGACACGCAAUGUGAUCACGUUGCUUAGAUCUUGUUAGACCUUAUAUUGAGUUGUAUUCUCAGAAUAUUGCGGCAUUUACGAUAACAACAGCCAUGUUAUUUAACAAGGCGUUAUAUAAUGAUAAAAAACGCGAAAUGUGUUUGAUUGACAAAAAAGUGAAUUAAAAUGAAAAAAAAUAUACUAUUUCGCUAAUAUUAAUAAUCUUUUUAGGGUGUUCUUUGAUCUUUUCCGGCUGUUGCGAAUGAUCUAAAUCCAUUGUUAUCUUCGAGAGUUGAAGGAUAAUUAUAAUAUAGGGUGUCUGGAAACUCACUCGCACUACUUCUUGAAGAGAUUCGAGAUAUAUAGCUUUUUUCCUUCUUUUUGGGUCCCUUCAGUCACUUCAAGAAGUAGUGCGGGCGAGUUUCCGGACACCCAGUAUAAUCAAUUUUUUCAAGCUUUGCGGGCGAGUUUCCGGACACCCAGUAUAAUCAAUUUUUUCAAGCUUUGUCUAUAAAAAUGCACAUUAUUAGUUAUUAAUUUUUGCAAGCAAAAUUUGAUCGACAUUUAAAUGCAUAUAUUUUAUUAUAAAACUAAAAUAAAUUUGUUCGAUUGUAAUAAAAAGAUUUUUAAGAAAUUACAUUAUUCUACUUUAUAAUGAUGCGAACAGUUAAAUCCUUUAUUGUACAAGUUUUGUAUGUGAUUAUAAUAUACAAGUAGAAUAUACUGGCUAGUGAAAUAGAUUCCACAAAAAUUACAUUAAGGAUUUCAGUAAAUGACAAUAAAUACUAUGUAUGUGAAAAAAA